AAGCUUCGCUGUUUGCGUCGCUGCGUUUAUUGUUGCUUGUGUGUAUUGUUACGUACGUGUAUAUAUAAACAACUGCCGUUACUUUUUUCGAAGCUGUAUGCGUUGCUGCGAGCGUCGAUGCCUGCGUCGCUUUGUGUGUUGCUAUGUAUGCCGCUAUGUAUGGGUUAAGUGCGUCGCUGCUUGCGUCUUUUUGUGAACCGUUGCAUAGAUCGCCUUGUUCGUCGUUUCUUGCCUGUGUUGUUACUUACGUGUUUGUAUAUGUUCUCAUAAUAUACUGUUUUUUUUUUUUUGGAAGCGUGAGUGCCUGCGUCGGUGCUUGCGUUGCUUCGUACAUCGCUGCAAGCGUCGCUGCCCGCGUCCCAAUAGCGUAGCCAUAUGCAAUCAACGCUCUGUCCGCCAUUCUUCUAUCGUAAGUCAUUCGACGCGCUUGUUCGUUUGCUGUAAUUAGUCACAAAAAAAAUAUAAAUUCCCGGUAAUUAUAGCUUGAGAGAUUCCGUUGUGUGUACAUAUGAAAGGUCUCCCCGCGUCGGACCGAAGUACAAAAUGCGGUUGUCUCAUUGGCUCUCUUGGCCUAGAUAUAUAUACAGAAUUAUAUACGGUUUUUUCGGUCGGUCAUUUAAGCAAAAAGCGUCGUCGCUGCCUAAUCCGUUUUUCUUUUUCAAUCGUUGUUUGUUCGACCAAAACCAAACAGUCGCUAUUUUCAUUGUAGCCGGCAUAGAAAAAAUAGGCAACGGUUAACUGUCCGCCAUUGUUCAACCAUUGUCGUUCGUGUCUCAAAAAAUCGCAGUUUAACUGAAGGAAAGGCAACGGAUUAUUUGAAUGGCUCAAAUUAUAAUAUUUGUGGAGAAGAAGUAAUUCAGCUUAGUCCUACUAAUAAAAGUGGUUCAGCUUGAUUGAUACGGAGCGGAAUAGAAUCUAGUGCCACCAACAUAUUGUUUGUAUAAGAUAUGGUGGUUUAAUGGCGUUUAGCGGAAAGUGGAACAAAAAUAAACUUUAACGGCUUAAAUCUGAGAAGCCAAGAGUAUGCAAUUCAUAUUGACGGAUAUUUAUAAAUGGAUACAAGACAUUUGAUUUGCUGACUGCAGAAGACAAAAGAACUACUAAAAUUAAUAAGCAUGUUUUAGCAAAUCACGGUUUAAUAGCGGUUAAUGGAAAGGGAAAGUAAGGAUAACGUCAAUUGUCUUAUAUUGAAUACCGUGGAAAACGCUGCGAUUAAACAGACGGUUACAUAUUUUCUUAAAAAGAGGUGAACUAUGCAUUGUGCUGUGGAAAGGAAGAGCUUUGCCGUACGCUAACCGCAUUUAGAUUGUUAUCCAAAGGAAGGUUCCACAUCGAUUGACAUUCUAUAUGCAUAACAUAUAUGGCUUAUACAGGAUGUUAUUGGAAACAAAAGGCGUUACUUAAUACACGGAGCUACAUCAGCAGGCGUAUGGAAACCAAUGGCUGCUUAUAAAAGAAGGCGCUGCCCAGCACACAACGCUUCUAAAGAAAGAGGAAUUCACAUUAAUGGCGUCGUAGCAGUGCUGUUAAAAAGAAGACACCCAAGAAGAGAGGCGUUUUAUCAUAUCAUGUGGAGGUUCACAAUGCAAAUAUUCUACAUAUUGGAAAGAAAUUUAUAAUAAUGCUAGGGUAUACCGCUUAAGUGAAAAACCAAUUAUGUUUACUGAUGAAUGUAUGACAAUAUUACACAUGUUAUAAUAAGUUGCUAGCAUUGUAAGCUGUUGUAUGCAAUGUAUAAUUGUUGUUCAAAGAUGUUAUUAGUUUAAGCAUAUGUUAAGCCACAUUUAU